GAUAAGAAGGUACUGGAGAUGCUUCC
rnacentral:piRNA from 1 species